rnacentral:rRNA from 1 species
ACAGCAGUCGCCACGGGAAUACGUAGGGUGCGAGCGUUAAUCGGAAUUACUGGGCGUAAAGCGUGCGCAGGCGGUCUGACAAGUCAGAUGUGAAAUCCCCGGGCUUAACCUGGGAACUGCAUUUGAAACUGUCAGGCUGGAGUCUUGUAGAGGGGGGUAGAAUUCCAGGUGUAGCGGUGAAAUGCGUAGAGAUCUGGAGGAAUACCGGUGGCGAAGGCGGCCCCCUGGACAAAGACUGACGCUCAGGUGCGAAAGCGUGGGGAGCAAACAGGAUUAGAUACCCGAGUAGUCCCUGUCUCUUAUAC